rnacentral:rRNA from 1 species
UACGUAGGCAGCGAGCGUUGUUCGGAGUUACUGGGCGUAAAGAGUGCGUAGGCGGUUUUUCUAAGUUUGGUGUGAAAUCUCCCGGCUCAACUGGGAGGGUGCGCCGAAGACUGGAAGACUAGAGUGUGGUAGGGGAGAUCGGAAUUCCUGGUGUAGCGGUGAAAUGCGCAGAUAUCAGGAGGAACACCGGUGGCGAAGGCGGAUCUCUGGGCCAUUACUGACGCUGAGGAGCGAAAGCGUGGGGAGCGAACAGG